rnacentral:rRNA from 1 species
UCCGUAGGUGAACCUGCGGAAGGAUCAUUAAUGAAUUGAAAGGGAGUUGAUGCUGGCCAGGUCUCUGGCAUGUGCUCGCUUCCGACAAUCUUAUCCAUACACCUGUGCACACUGUGAGGGCAUGCAAGUGCCCUUAUUUACUACAUACACCUAAUAUGGAAAUCGCACGUGACUUGCGUCGUAUGGCGCUUAAAACUAAAAACAACUUUUAACAACGGAUCUCUUGGCUCUCGCAUCGAUGAAGAACGCAGCGAAAUGCGAUAAGUAAAUGUGAAUUGCAGAAUUCAGUGAAUCAUCGAAUCUUUGAACGCACCUUGCGCUCCUUGGUAUUCCGAGGAGCACGCCUGUUCGAGUGUCGUGAAACUCUCAAGCUAGAUGCUUUAGAGUGUCAUCUACUUGGUUAUUGGACUCUGCUGUCUCCUUGUCUGGAACGGCUGGUCUCAAAUGUAUUAGCUGGUCCUUGUUGUGGGAUUUGGUUCUACUCAGCGUGAUAAUCUAUGACCGCUGAGGACAUCUCUCGGGAUGGCCAAGCCUGCCUUGGGCUGCUUCUAACUCAUCAUCAUGAUAUUUUUCAACUUUGACCUCGAAUCAAGCGGGACUACCCGCUGAACUUAAGCAUAUCAAUAAGCGGAGGAAAAGAAACUAACAAGGAUUCCCCUAGUAACGGCGAGUGAAGCGGGAUGAGCUCAAAUUUAAAAU